UACGUAGGUGGCAAGCGUUGUCCGGAAUUAUUGGGCGUAAAGCGCGCGCAGGUGGUUCCUUAAGUCUGAUGUGAAAGCCCACGGCUCAACCGUGGAGGGUCAUUGGAAACUGGGGGACUUGAGUGCAGAAGAGGAAAGUGGAAUUCCAAGUGUAGCGGUGAAAUGCGUAGAGAUUUGGAGGAACACCAGUGGCGAAGGCGACUUGCUGGCCUGUUCUUGACGCUGAGGCGCGAAAGCGUGGGGAGCAAACAGG
rnacentral:rRNA from 1 species